rnacentral:rRNA from 1 species
ACUGUGAGCUCGAUGAGUAGGGCGGGACACGUGGUAUCCUGUCUGAAUAUGGGGGGACCAUCCUCCAAGGCUAAAUACUCCUGACUGACCGAUAGUGAACCAGUACCGUGAGGGAAAGGCGAAAAGAACCCCGGCGAGGGGAGUGAAAAAGAACCUGAAACCGUGUACGUACAAGCAGUGGGAGCACGCUUAGGCGUGUGACUGCGUACCUUUUGUAUAAUGGGUCAGCGACUUAUAUUCUGUAGCAAGGUUAACCGAAUAGGGGAGCCGAAGGGAAACCGAGUCUUAACUGGGCGUUAAGUUGCAGGGUAUAGACCCGAAACCCGGUGAUCUAGCCAUGGGCAGGUUGAAGGUUGGGUAACACUAACUGGAGGACCGAACCGACUAAUGUUGAAAAAUUAGCGGAUGACUUGUGGCUGGGGGUGAAAGGCCAAUCAAACCGGGAGAUAGCUGGUUCUCCCCGAAAGCUAUUUAGGUAGCGCCUCGUGAAUUCAUCUCCGGGGGUAGAGCACUGUUUCGGCAAGGGGGUCAUCCCGACUUACCAACCCGAUGCAAACUGCGAAUACCGGAGAAUGUUAUCACGGGAGACACACGGCGGGUGCUAACGUCCGUCGUGAAGAGGGAAACAACCCAGACCGCCAGCUAAGGUCCCAAAGUCAUGGUUAAGUGGGAAACGAUGUGGGAAGGCCCAGACAGCCAGGAUGUUGGCUUAGAAGCAGCCAUCAUUUAAAGAAAGCGUAAUAGCUCACUGGUCGAGUCGGCCUGCGCGGAAGAUGUAACGGGGCUAAACCAUGCACCGAAGCUGCGGCAGCGACGCUUAUGCGUUGUUGGGUAGGGGAGCGUUCUGUAAGCCUGUGAAGGUGUGCUGUGAGGCAUGCUGGAGGUAUCAGAAGUGCGAAUGCUGACAUAAGUAACGAUAAAGCGGGUGAAAAGCCCGCUCGCCGGAAGACCAAGGGUUCCUGUCCAACGUUAAUCGGGGCAGGGUGAGUCGACCCCUAAGGCGAGGCCGAAAGGCGUAGUCGAUGGGAAACAGGUUAAUAUUCCUGUACUUGGUGUUACUGCGAAGGGGGGACGGAGAAGGCUAUGUUGGCCGGGCGACGGUUGUCCCGGUUUAAGCGUGUAGGCUGGUUUUCCAGGCAAAUCCGGAAAAUCAAGGCUGAGGCGUGAUGACGAGGCACUACGGUGCUGAAGCAACAAAUGCCCUGCUUCCAGGAAAAGCCUCUAAGCAUCAGGUAACAUCAAAUCGUACCCCAAACCGACACAGGUGGUCAGGUAGAGAAUACCAAGGCGCUUGAGAGAACUCGGGUGAAGGAACUAGGCAAAAUGGUGCCGUAACUUCGGGAGAAGGCACGCUGAUAUGUAGGUGAAGCGACUUGCUCGUGGAGCUGAAAUCAGUCGAAGAUACCAGCUGGCUGCAACUGUUUAUUAAAAACACAGCACUGUGCAAACACGAAAGUGGACGUAUACGGUGUGACGCCUGCCCGGUGCCGGAAGGUUAAUUGAUGGGGUCAGCGCAAGCGAAGCUCUUGAUCGAAGCCCCGGUAAACGGCGGCCGUAACUAUAACGGUCCUAAGGUAGCGAAAUUCCUUGUCGGGUAAGUUCCGACCUGCACGAAUGGCGUAAUGAUGGCCAGGCUGUCUCCACCCGAGACUCAGUGAAAUUGAACUCGCUGUGAAGAUGCAGUGUACCCGCGGCAAGACGGAAAGACCCCGUGAACCUUUACUAUAGCUUGACACUGAACAUUGAGCCUUGAUG